ensembl:lncRNA
AUGUCUGUUUUUUCCCAAAAAGUUGUUCCCCAUUUGGUAACACGGCACAUACUAAGAAGACUAUUGUGCCCUGUUUUCCUCUACAGGCUGGAAGUUUCUCCUAAGGUAGAAAGAGCACCCCCUCCCCCCCCCCCCCGCUCCCCCCUAUCCUCCCAGUUCUCCCCUCCUCCUGCCUCCCCCUCCGGUCAUGUCUCACCUCACGACUGCAAUCACACCAAUCCAUUCACACCCUCCAACUCCCCCUCCUCUACCGCAAUCUCCCCCGCCAACCUUUUCCCUUUGCGUGCGCAGCGCAACCCCUUUUUUGAGGAUCUCAUAGCGGAAGAGUCCCAGAGGUCCCCCCCAUUCGGCUCAUCCCCAUUUCAUUACACCACUCUGCCUUCCCGGCCCUGCGCGUCCAGCCCUGCUCGCGGUGUGAAAGCUACAAACGUGGCUCACAUGAGGCGGGAGCGCCCAAGGCCAGUAGCUAGGCAGAUAUCCCUCCCUGCGAUAUUACCCGAAGCAGCCUCGCCUCGUCCCUCCGCACCUCGCUCCAUGUCAGAGAGCGCAGGAGAGUCGGACGAUUCGUUCGACGCCUUUGCCUCCAGCAGGCUCAACUUCCCUAAAGGGAGACCUCCUCAGACGCAGCCGAGAACCACUCCAACCCCGUCUCACAGACAUAGCUAUCUUCCGGUUGGCAGCGGCACAAAUAAUCCUGCGCAAGAGCUGCAAACGUGCGAAGAGGAGCCUCCGCCUUUGCCUCCGCGGAAACUUCUCCGGGCUUCAGUGAACGAGAUUUCCUCUGACGGCUGGCUGCACAGGGGUCAGGAGCUGGCUGUCCAUAAAGAAGCCUACCUGCUCUCGCAGACCGGAGUGGCCUCGCUGCAACGUGGAAGAGAGGGAGAAAACAAGAGAAACGUUGCGUCUCCAGACCCUCACACUGGCAGCGAGGCCUCCGACUCGCUCAGCGCCGCCUCUCAGCCGCACGCGAAGGAGGGAUUCGUGGGCGAAGAGAAGCUCAAAAAGUUUAAAUAUGAACCUUUGGAGGAUGAAACGGACCGCUGGGGAGGGACGUUGUUUGAGCAAGACCUGUAUGGACGCACGUGCAGAGGAAACUACGGACGACCCAAAGUUAAUCGUUUGUCGCUGAGCAGUGAAGAGACAAACACAUCUGUGAACUUAGGACCAAAGGUACUUGUUAAUAGUGAGACAAUUGGAGCAGAUAUUUCAAACAUUCCAUCAACUGCUUCCAUAAAGCCGGAAGCACUUGACAUUACAACCGCUCCUGCAGAGAAGGUGGAGUUCUAUCCCUCUGAAACCACGUGCAUCAACAAUAAUGCGUCUUCCUCAUCAAUGUUAGGAGAUCUGAACAUGAAUGUUAACAACUCAGAUUUUGGUUUCAUUGAUUCGGACGGCUCCUCUCAGUCAGAGGUAGUUGACACUCUCAAAGGCACCAUGAGUUUUGGCGGGACCUUCCCACAACCCACAGAAGCUUCACAGGUAGCUGCUUACCGUGUCGAGGCGGCGACCACACCUCCGGAUGUGUUCACUUUGAAGGACACCUACAUUCCUGAGAUGAACUCUUCCUUUGAAAUAACUGCUUCAUCCAACAAACUGUACCAAUUCUCUCCAGUUUGCAAGGAAUACAGUGAACUGAAUAACGUGGUCCAACGCGGUAAACCCGGGUUGAACAGCAGAGAGAUGGCUGCUUUUUUCGGAACAAAGUCAAACCUCUGA